GACGGUCUGUCCAGUGGCAAAGGCUAUGGCUAAUCGGUGAAGCGCAUCGAGCUCAUUACAUAUGGCCUUGUGGAAGUAAAGAAAUAUGAGAAUCGGCGAUUUUUGGUCGCCGCUCUCCAAACAACCCUUCGACUCCACCUUCUUCACCGAGCUCGACAAUAUCAUCCCUUCUCCUCGCUGCAAUUCCGGCAACGACGUCGCCAUUUCUGUUUUCCCUCUCAAUCUCUCCCUCUAGUCUCUGCAACUUCUCUGCGACUUUCCGUUUCUACGUCCAAUAGUAUCGCGAUGGUAUCUCCCUCUCUCUCUCUUUCUAGGAAACUUAAUUCGGAUUUUUUUUUUUCCUUUUUAAUUUUGGCUUCUCUCGUGUGGAGCUGAGAGCCCUUGUUUACACUGUGUACUAUCAUCGUUAGACCGUCCGAUCGUCUAUGAACGGCCAUUUGUUG
rnacentral:misc_RNA from 1 species